GGCUGGUCUGAAGGUAGUGAGUUAUGUCGAUUGUUCACAGUCAGUACAGAUUGACCUCCUUGUUCUACUCUUUCCCCCUUCUCACUACUGCACUUGACUAGUCUAAA
ensembl:misc_RNA Y_RNA Y RNA